rnacentral:pre_miRNA from 1 species
CUUGAGACAGGAUAUGACUAUAUAUUAAUGAGACUCAAUAAACCAAGCCACACAUGAAAACUUGUCUCAUUACUUUAUAGCCAUGCCAUGUAUGUUUU